ACCCGUCCACCAAAUCCCGACGCCUAUUCUCACCCAUUCGUGUCUCUUCCUCCAAUCGCCCGACAACUGCGACGCUGCCCUCUCGAUCGCAGCCUCCGUCGGAACCACAGCCGUCGUUCUUCGUGCUGUGUCAAGCCGGGUGACUUCAAGGUUCAUGAGCAUAUGAAAAUUUCCUGUCCGUAGAUCAGACAUUUCUCUGGAGGACCAGAUCCUGGUCAAAAGAAUGACAAAAAAUGGCUGAUGCAAAUUGGUGAUCAAUUGGCACAAAAAAAUCGUGGCGGAUAACGUGCUGCAUCAAGGUUCCAUUACAGACUGCAUCAACUACUUCCAACUUGGGUCAGAAAGUAUGGUGAAAGAACAAAAGAGCUUAAUCAGAUGUCAGUCUCUCUCUAUUGGGAAAUGCAUAAAAGAACACCCUUUUGAUGGCUUGAUGAUGCUCUUUAUGAAUAAAGCUCCCAUUUGAAGUAAAGUGUUCUUAUGAUGGUUGUCUGAGCCCUUUCUUCUGGGAUGGCCCGAGGGUAACUUAAUGUAAACGCCAGGUGCGAGGCGGCUUUUGAUCUUUUCCACCUCCUUGGAUCCGAUCUGGAAGGCCCGGGCGAGGACGUGGUCGGGCACCGGCGGGGUAGCUGCGAAGAGUGCAACGGCGAUGGACUGGGUGCCAGGAAGCUGGCUGUUGA